rnacentral:snoRNA from 1 species
CUGUGCAAUUAUGGUGAUCAUCUCUGAGAACUGGACUGAAAUGAAGUGAAUACACUUUGCUGAUCACUU